GGUUAAGCGACUAAGCGUACACGGUGGAUGCCCUGGCAGUCAGAGGCGAUGAAGGACGUGCUAAUCUGCGAUAAGCGUCGGUAAGGUGAUAUGAACCGUUAUAACCGGCGAUUUCCGAAUGGGGAAACCCAGUGUGUUUCGACACACUAUCAUUAACUGAAUCCAUAGGUUAAUGAGGCGAACCGGGGGAACUGAAACAUCUAAGUACCCCGAGGAAAAGAAAUCAACCGAGAUUCCCCCAGUAGCGGCGAGCGAACGGGGAGGAGCCCAGAGCCUGAAUCAGUGUGUGUGUUAGUGGAAGCGUCUGGAAAGGCGCGCGAUACAGGGUGACAGCCCCGUACACAAAAAUGCACAUGCUGUGAGCUCGAUGAGUAGGGCGGGACACGUGGUAUCCUGUCUGAAUAUGGGGGGACCAUCCUCCAAGGCUAAAUACUCCUGACUGACCGAUAGUGAACCAGUACCGUGAGGGAAAGGCGAAAAGAACCCCGGCGAGGGGAGUGAAAAAGAACCUGAAACCGUGUACGUACAAGCAGUGGGAGCCUCUUUUAUGGGGUGACUGCGUACCUUUUGUAUAAUGGGUCAGCGACUUAUAUUCUGUAGCAAGGUUAACCGAAUAGGGGAGCCGAAGGGAAACCGAGUCUUAACUGGGCGUUAAGUUGCAGGGUAUAGACCCGAAACCCGGUGAUCUAGCCAUGGGCAGGUUGAAGGUUGGGUAACACUAACUGGAGGACCGAACCGACUAAUGUUGAAAAAUUAGCGGAUGACUUGUGGCUGGGGGUGAAAGGCCAAUCAAACCGGGAGAUAGCUGGUUCUCCCCGAAAGCUAUUUAGGUAGCGCCUCGUGAAUUCAUCUCCGGGGGUAGAGCACUGUUUCGGCAAGGGGGUCAUCCCGACUUACCAACCCGAUGCAAACUGCGAAUACCGGAGAAUGUUAUCACGGGAGACACACGGCGGGUGCUAACGUCCGUCGUGAAGAGGGAAACAACCCAGACCGCCAGCUAAGGUCCCAAAGUCAUGGUUAAGUGGGAAACGAUGUGGGAAGGCCCAGACAGCCAGGAUGUUGGCUUAGAAGCAGCCAUCAUUUAAAGAAAGCGUAAUAGCUCACUGGUCGAGUCGGCCUGCGCGGAAGAUGUAACGGGGCUAAACCAUGCACCGAAGCUGCGGCAGCGACACUGUGUGUUGUUGGGUAGGGGAGCGUUCUGUAAGCCUGUGAAGGUGUACUGUGAGGUAUGCUGGAGGUAUCAGAAGUGCGAAUGCUGACAUAAGUAACGAUAAAGCGGGUGAAAAGCCCGCUCGCCGGAAGACCAAGGGUUCCUGUCCAACGUUAAUCGGGGCAGGGUGAGUCGACCCCUAAGGCGAGGCCGAAAGGCGUAGUCGAUGGGAAACAGGUUAAUAUUCCUGUACUUGGUGUUACUGCGAAGGGGGGACGGAGAAGGCUAUGUUGGCCGGGCGACGGUUGUCCCGGUUUAAGCGUGUAGGCUGGUUUUCCAGGCAAAUCCGGAAAAUCAAGGCUGAGGCGUGAUGACGAGGCACUACGGUGCUGAAGCAACAAAUGCCCUGCUUCCAGGAAAAGCCUCUAAGCAUCAGGUAACAUCAAAUCGUACCCCAAACCGACACAGGUGGUCAGGUAGAGAAUACCAAGGCGCUUGAGAGAACUCGGGUGAAGGAACUAGGCAAAAUGGUGCCGUAACUUCGGGAGAAGGCACGCUGAUAUGUAGGUGAAGUCCCUCGCGGAUGGAGCUGAAAUCAGUCGAAGAUACCAGCUGGCUGCAACUGUUUAUUAAAAACACAGCACUGUGCAAACACGAAAGUGGACGUAUACGGUGUGACGCCUGCCCGGUGCCGGAAGGUUAAUUGAUGGGGUCAGCGCAAGCGAAGCUCUUGAUCGAAGCCCCGGUAAACGGCGGCCGUAACUAUAACGGUCCUAAGGUAGCGAAAUUCCUUGUCGGGUAAGUUCCGACCUGCACGAAUGGCGUAAUGAUGGCCAGGCUGUCUCCACCCGAGACUCAGUGAAAUUGAACUCGCUGUGAAGAUGCAGUGUACCCGCGGCAAGACGGAAAGACCCCGUGAACCUUUACUAUAGCUUGACACUGAACAUUGAGCCUUGAUGUGUAGGAUAGGUGGGAGGCUUUGAAGUGUGGACGCCAGUCUGCAUGGAGCCGACCUUGAAAUACCACCCUUUAAUGUUUGAUGUUCUAACGUUGACCCGUGAUCCGGGUUGCGGACAGUGUCUGGUGGGUAGUUUGACUGGGGCGGUCUCCUCCUAAAGAGUAACGGAGGAGCACGAAGGUUGGCUAAUCCUGGUCGGACAUCAGGAGGUUAGUGCAAUGGCAUAAGCCAGCUUGACUGCGAGCGUGACGGCGCGAGCAGGUGCGAAAGCAGGUCAUAGUGAUCCGGUGGUUCUGAAUGGAAGGGCCAUCGCUCAACGGAUAAAAGGUACUCCGGGGAUAACAGGCUGAUACCGCCCAAGAGUUCAUAUCGACGGCGGUGUUUGGCACCUCGAUGUCGGCUCAUCACAUCCUGGGGCUGAAGUAGGUCCCAAGGGUAUGGCUGUUCGCCAUUUAAAGUGGUACGCGAGCUGGGUUUAGAACGUCGUGAGACAGUUCGGUCCCUAUCUGCCGUGGGCGCUGGAGAACUGAGGGGGGCUGCUCCUAGUACGAGAGGACCGGAGUGGACGCAUCACUGGUGUUCGGGUUGUCAUGCCAAUGGCACUGCCCGGUAGCUAAAUGCGGAAGAGAUAAGUGCUGAAAGCAUCUAAGCACGAAACUUGCCCCGAGAUGAGUUCUCCCUGAC
rnacentral:rRNA from 1 species